GGUGGUCAUGUGCGUUGGUAUACUCCGUAUCGUGUACGUUUACGAUGCUCGACGAUGAGGUGGAAAGUAUUGUGCAGCUUCACGGUUCAUUCCCGGUUAAUUUGUUUGGUCCAAUUGCGAUUGCUAUUUAUUGAUUGAUUUAAUCCUCGUGUUAAAUGUGUUAAACUGUUUAUUAUUUAUUUCAUUUAUUUAUUUAUUUAUUUAUCUCCAGAUUACUGUUCUUACUGUUUCUGCUAACCCCAUCGGAGCAGGUAACCUGUGCGAUUUCUGUCGCAUCGCGAUGCUAAGCGGCUGUAUUUAUUGAUGGCCGUUGACGUUGUGGUCAUGAUUCCGGUCUCCUCAUGAUUGGAAAUAAUCUUGAUUGCAGAGAGUGCCAAGGCGAACAACUGAUGGACUCAUGGUGGCAAUGGUUGUGGUGGGGAAUAAUGCUAAAGGAGUUUAUGCUUGUAACGGUUCUUGGUAGGGCUUUCUUCUAUGGGACACUGUAUUGUGGCCUGGUAUAGACAAUAUUGGUGGACAUUAGCUGUGUGGAGUGCUGGGAGCCCGGUGGGAAUUGAACGGGGUUUGAUUGAUCGGGCUGAAUUGAGAUGAUCUGAUUGGGAUGGAUCGUCCGGUUGCCCUGUGAAAUUUUAUGAUACGGGUAUAACCUGGAAAUCCGUUGCAAUCUGCUGCAAUUUUGUUACAAAUUAUUAAUGAUCACGGUGCUGGGAGCCCGGUUGGAAUUGAACGGGGUUAGAUUUGAUCGGGCUGAAUUGAGUUGAUCUGGUUGGAAUUAAUAGAUCGUCCGGUUGUCCUGUUAAUCUUUAUGAUACGGGUAGCUGAUAACCUGGUAAUCUGCUGCAAUCUGUUGCAAUUUGGGUGCAAAAUUAUAUAAUCACGGUGCUGGGAGCCCGGUUGGAAUUGAACGGGGUUAGAUUUGAUCGGGCUGAAUUGAGAUGAUAUGGUUGGAAUUAAUAGAUCGUCCGGUUGUCCUGUGAAUCUUUAUGAUACGGGUAACUGAUAACCUGGUAAUCUGUUGCAAUCUGUUGCAAUUUUGUUACAAAUUAUUAAUAAUCACGGUAAUAUCUUGAUUUUCUUUAUAUUAUAUAUUAUAUUCUUAUUUGAGCAUGACUGUAUUAUACUGAUUAUUGAAUUAUUAAAUUGCUGAAUUAUUAUUAUUAUUAAUUACACGCGGCUUAUAAUACAUGAUAUCUUCAUAUAUAUUGGUGCCUCGGCUCGCUGUUGGCACUGAAGUCGUUCAGUGGGAACGCAGCGAGCCGAGAGAACCAGAGACUAAAUAUUUCGGACCUUAACUUAAUUGUUUCUGCCAGUUGUCUAAUGCGGCACUCUUUCUCACUUGAAUUGAUUUAGUCAAGUGCUGGGUUGUUAGGUUUGGUAUUUAUUUAUUUAUUAUUUACUUUAGCUUGAUCAAUUAUUUAUUUAAUACUGUGGGGUUUUGC